GGAGUCUGCUGGGGAAAAAAAGGACUUAAUUUAGCAACAAACAAUUCUACAUGGAACCUGUAAAAAAAACACAACUGGGGAAGAAUUAAAGUGUAAGACAUCACAGAUUUGUUAUUCAAGCAUGAUCCCUUACUUCGCAAACAAGUGUACUUUAUAUUCUGUUAUAAUUUUACCUUUUUCCUUUUUACCUUUUUAGUUUGUACAUGGUGUAAAGAUUAUUCAUUUAUAUUAUGUUUAUUUAUUUUGUUUGUAAAUUGUGUUUUUAUGAGAAAGUUUUGGGUGGAGACUUUUAUUUUGACGGUCGCACUGCUACUUUCUGUUGGUUCGCGGCAUUCCUCAGUCUCCGGGACCGGUAGGGCCGCUGAGGAAAGGUGUUUGUGGAAGCAGGAAUCUGAGGUGGCUGAAUUGGUAUAUUCAUGUUUUCACAAAGUAAAUUCCCUCAUCUUGGAUGGCAAAUCCCAAUAUGAGACUCACCAUUACAACUGAUACACAACGCAGCAGUCAAAAAAAAGCCCGACUACACCACAAUGAGGUACAUGCCCGUGUAUUAGGUUUAACUUCCUAAAAACACCCACAAAUGUUCAACGUAUUCUAAAAAAAAGAGAGAAUUUACUUUGAAAAAGUAGCUGACGACAACAACAAUUCAGACUGGAAAAAAACAAUACUUGAGAUUAGUUACUUUUAGCAAAAAAGGACAUUAAAGUGUUUGCGUCUACAAAGUUCAACCAGGAAACUCUGAUUAGUAAGUCAACAUGAAUUUAAAAAACCCUAAAGUGAUCAACCACAAACAGAAAAAAAGUGACUGUGUGUCAUUUCUU